rnacentral:misc_RNA from 1 species
UUAAGUUCAGCGGGUAUUCCUACCUGAUCCGAGGUCAACCUUGUAAAAAUGGGGUGCGAGGCAAGCCCACGCAGGACGCCCGAAGCGAGAAGAAACUACUGCGCUCGGAGACCUAGCGUGUCCGCCACUGUAUUUAAGGGACUGCAGACGCAGAGCCCCAACACCAAGCCAGGCUUGAGGGUUGAAAUGACGCUCGAACA